UACGUAGGGUGCGAGCGUUUGUCCGGAAUUAUUGGGCGUAAAGAGCUCGUAGGCGGUUUGUCGCGUCGACUGUGAAAACCUGCAGCUUAACUGUGGGCGUGCGGUCGAUACGGGCAUCACUGGAGUUCGGCAGGGGAGACUGGAAUUCCUGGUGUAGCGGUGAAAUGCGCAGAUAUCAGGAGGAACACCGGUGGCGAAGGCGGGUCUCUGGGCCGAUACUGACGCUGAGGAGCGAAAGCGUGGGGAGCGAACAGG
rnacentral:rRNA from 1 species